UACGUAGGGGGCGAGCGUUGUCCGGAUUUAUUGGGCGUAAAGAGCGUGUAGGCGGUUCGGUAAGUCUGUCGUGAAAUCCUGAGGCUCAACCUUGGACGUGCGAUGGAUACUGCCGGGCUAGAGGAUGGUAGAGGCGAGUGGAAUUCUCGGUGUAGCGGUGAAAUGCGCAGAUAUCGGGAGGAACACCAGUAGCGAAGGCGGCUCGCUGGGCCAUUCCUGACGCUGAGACGCGAAAGCUAGGGGAGCGAAUAGG
rnacentral:rRNA from 1 species